rnacentral:rRNA from 1 species
UACGAAGGGGGCUAGCGUUGCUCGGAAUCACUGGGCGUAAAAGCGCACGUAGGCGGAUCAUUAAGUCGGGGGUGAAAUCCUGGAGCUCAACUCCAGAACUGCCUUCGAUACUGAAGAUCUCGAGUCCGGGAGAGGGAUGCAGAAUUCCAGGUGUAGCGGUGAAAUGCGUAGAUAUCUGGAGGAAUACCGGUGGCGAAGGCGGCAUCCUGGACCGGCAUUGACGCUGAGGAGCGAAAGCUAGGGGAGCAAACGGG